rnacentral:lncRNA from 1 species
UUAAUUCAUAAUAAUAAAUAUAUAUAAAAUAUAAAAAAAUAAUUUUAGUUGAGAUAAUUUUCGGGAGCAGGAGUUAAAGAUUAGCACAAUAAUUUCUAAUACUAUCUGGUAGGUAUGGUAACAAUAUAGAACGCGCUACAAAUAUUUUAUAUACAAAGUAAGUUGAAGUUUUCUCUUUAAAUUUAAAUAUUAAAGCAGUAAUAGGUAUAAAAUUCGAACAUCUUUUUGAAAAACUUUAUUUUGGAAAGUUUGGCCGAAUACAAAAAUGAUUCAAGUAUCCUUUACCAAAAUUUUAUGAACGAUCUAUGCGAUAUAAACCUUCCGAAAAUUAUUUUCAGAAAUAAGGUAAUCAUUGAAUUGUAUUAUAUUAUAAUAUUUAUGAUAGAAUAAGCAUUAUUACUUAGCAUCUGAAGAGAAUUCAAUACAUUUGAUUAUUGAUCAAAGCAAGUGUAAAAAGACAGUAUAGUGUUAAUAGAUUAUUUAUAGAAUAAAUAGGAAUGCUCAUUAGGAUAUUUAUUACAUUUUUUUCUAAUUUAUAAGCCAAUAGGAGUUAAAUUGCUUCAUCCAAGUUGUUAAUUACUAUUUCUGAAUUAAGGUGAGUUACCACAUCUAUCGAGAAUGUGUAAAUAUACGGGUAUAAGUUUGUAAAGGACUUAAAGACAAUAGCUUAAAAAAUUUCUAUAUUAUAAUCUUCAAACCUAAUCAAUUAUUGAUAUCAACAUCAAGAGAUUCUGUCGUUUAUAAUGAACUCUGUUUAGGGGAGAGAAAAUACACACACAUACAAAUAUAUAUUUAAAUUUGAAUUGACAUAUAAAAUAUAAUUUUAAAUUAAUUGAAAAUAAAUUUUGAAAGCUCUGGAGAUGAAUUUGACAUCAUAAGGACUAUAAGAAAUAUUUAUAAUAAUGAGAAUACGAUUUAAUCGAAUGAUCUUUCAUUAUUUACUUGUAGGUUAAGUAUAUUGUCUAAAUGGAAGGAGCAAAGGGCUUUCGACAAUAUUAUUCGGGAAAUCAAAUUGUAUAAGCCAGAGUCUUAUCAUAAUUUUAUGAAGAUGUCAAAAGAAUUGUUUGAUUUAUUACUAUCUAAAGUUGGUCUCAAAAUUUCCAGCAGAGAACGUUCUCGGCAUGAUUAUGAAUCAAUUACUACUAAUGACAUUGAUCUUAACAUUAGAUACAUCGAAUCUGGGGAUUCUCAACUUCCGAAUUAAUAAAAAAUCUGUCAUUGAAAUUGUACAUAAUACAUCCAACGCUAUCUGGGAAGCUCUUGUGGUAAAAUUAACAAUAAAUUAAAGUAACAUAAUUAUUUUUUUGUAAGGAUGAAUAUUUUAAAGCUUCUAUCUAAGAUGAUUGGCUAUCAAUUAGUAAAGAAUAUGAAGAGCAGUGGAAUUCUCCUAAUUGUAGUGGUACAAUAGAUGAAAAGCAUAUAUGGAUACAAGCACCAAUUAUUUCUGGAUCAGAGUAAUUUAAUUGUAAGGGGUUUCAUUUCAUUGUUAUUGGGCAUUUGCAGGCUUUUGAAAGGAAUGAAAAAUUGAACGGCGUUCCAUGGAACGUUAGUUCAAUGAACUGAAUUGACUUUUUUUUUUUUUUUGAACGAUAAAUGCUAAAAAUGAGAUUUAGCGUUCUGUUCCAAUAGGUCAUAGUAAUUUCCUAUUAUUGUCAACACAUAAAUAUUAACAAUAUUUUUUAAAUAAUUUGUUACUUUAUUGCCCCAUUUCUAU